GAUGAAGAACGUAGUGAAAUGCGAUAAGUAAUGUGAAUUGCAGAAUUCAGUGAAUCAUCGAAUCUUUGAACGCACAUUGCGCCCCCUGGUAUUCCGGGGGGCAUGCCUGUCCGAGCGUCAUUACAACCCUCAAGCCCGGCUUGUGUAAUGGGCGGCCGUCUCUCCCCCCGGGGGGAGACGCCCCCGAAACUCAGUGGGGAUGUCGCGAUACCGAAGCCUCAGCUAAUGGGUAAACCACAGCUGCAAUGGCCGCGGCCGGCGUCCGCCUUCCACGGUCCGUCCGCCUAGCGCGGGCGGCCUUCUCAAGGUUGACCUCGGAUCAGGUAGGGAUACCCGCUGAACUUAAGCAUAUCAAUAAGCGGAGGA
rnacentral:misc_RNA from 1 species